rnacentral:lncRNA from 1 species
CACUUGCAGGGUUCCUGCUAAGGCAGUGAGUUUGAUGGCAGGUUCUUAAACUUCUUCCUGAGUGAAUCAAUUUUUAGAAGACGCUCUCCUCACCGAAUUGCUUUUGUGAUUUUGCUGUAAGUUAUUUUUUUCUUUAUCUUACAGGGAAGUAGGUCAUUGUUGGAAAAGAGUCAUCUGUAUUUGCAAUCUGGUCAGAACAACUGCUCCCUGACAAAGAGAGAGCUGCCUCCUUUUGUGCCUUUUCAGAAGCUCCCUUCAAGAACUCUGUCACCAGCUUUUACUGCAAGAAAGACUAUCCAAAAUCCUGCUCAGGAUACUUUGUCUCAAACUCACGUUCAUGAAGCUAAUACAGGGAGAUUAUCUGCUUCACCACUCCUGCAGUCUCAUAUGCAUAUGAGCAGUUGCAGCAGGAAGAAGACAUUUCAAAACUCUUUUAAUAAAACCUACUCUAGAGACCUCCUUGACAAACAUUCAGUUUGCUUCACAGAAAAAAAGCAACGUUUUACCCCUCGAAUCUUAAAGACAUCACACCAAUCUGCUCUUGUAAAACAUAGAUACUAUAAUCCUCCUCACAAAAAAAAGAACUUGUCACCUGGCAGACCACCACUGAAAUCAGUGGAUGUCGACAAUGAAAAGAAAGGAGAUUUAYGCAGUUUUUUAGAAGAUGCACUUGUGAGACCACAUUCAGAUCACUUUUGUGAGAAGCCAGUUGAGCAGAACCAUGAAUUAUGGUUUACUGAUUCUGACAUGCCACUUUCUCCGAGAUCACAGCUUCAAGAAAAAGCAGACUAUCUUUGUUUUCUUGAAGAUCUUACAAAUGAUAUUUUGAUUAGAAGUUGUUAUCACAAAGCGU